rnacentral:rRNA from 1 species
UACGUAGGGUGCAAGCGUUGUUCGGAAUUACUGGGCGUAAAGAGUGUGUAGGCGGUUCUCUAAGUUCCGUGUGAAAUCUCCCGGCUUAACUGGGAGGGUGCGCGGAAGACUGGAGGGCUGGAGUAUGGGAGAGGAAAGCGGAAUUCCUGGUGUAGCGGUGAAAUGCGUAGAUAUCAGGAGGAACACCGGUGGCGAAGGCGGUUCUCUGGGCAUGUCCUGACGCUGAGGAGCGAAAGUGUGGGGAGCGAACAGG